UUAGGAAUUUUCCACAAUGGGGGCAACCCUGAUGGAGCAACGCCGCGUGCAGGAUGAAGGCCUUCGGGUCGUAAACUGCUUUUAUCAGAGACGAUUAUGACGGUAUCUGAAGAAUAAGGACCUGCUAACUACGUGCCAGCAGCCGCGGUCAUACGUAGGGUCCAAGCGUUAUCCGGAAUUACUGGGCGUAAAGAGUUGCGUAGGCGGCAAUGUAAGCAAGCUAUGAAAGAGCGUGGCCCAACCAUGCAAACGUAGUUUGAACUGCAUUGCUAGAGAAUAAGAGAGGUGGCUGGAAUUCCCAGUGUAGGAGUAAAAUCCGUAGAUAUUGGGAGGAACACCGAUGGCGUAGGCAGGCCACUGGCUUAUUUCUGACGCUGAGGCACGAAAGCGUGGGGAGCAAACGGG
rnacentral:rRNA from 1 species